CUUCAUUUGCUUCAUGGAAAAUAUAUUCUUAUAAUAUUUUCUUUUGAUUGCGGGACCUGGAUAUUUUUUGUGAGAUUCACCUCUUAAACUGGAAUAUUUCUGGAAGAUGUUUCACUUUUUGAAUGUUACGAAAGGAACGAUAAAGGUCAAAUUAACUCAUUCUAACACUAAUGCCUUUUCAGAUCACAACCAGAAUAAGUUCACGGGGCUGUAUAAUCGUACACAUAUAUAAAUACCUAUAAAUAUGUAUGAUGCUAGGAUAUUUUAUUUAUUGCUUUACCCUGUCAGAUUUUAUUUUUUUUCUCUCAGAUGCUAGCUAACAUGGAUAUCCAGUUGUAGAACAUAAUUUAGUCCUCUGCACUCAUCCAUAUCAGAUUUAUAACUUAGAAUCAUUAAAAAAAAAAAAAGACCUUGGAGCUCAGCUGACUUCAUUAACGUAGGUGUUUAUUUGUUAGUAGCGUGUGGUGAUGUUGAUUAGGUAAUAAGUAGUCAUGUCUGGUGCAACUCUGGCGGAAAGAAAACUUAGCAUCCAUGCACUGUCCCAGAGCUUAUCUCUUCCUCAAGAGCUUCCUCAAGUUUACAUCUCUGAUCUUCAGGAAUCAUUUCCAAAGAGAUGGCACAGUCCAGACCCAGUGCAUGAUGGGAUUGUUUGGGUUUGCAUAAUACUGACCAGCUCUGUCGGCAUCGAACAUAUCAAGAACAUGAGAUCCGUGUUCACAGCUUUCAGCAGAGCUAGAGCUGGUUCAGGUGGGAUCUAGACUCCUGAAUGAGGUUUAAUGAAGCUUCCAACAUUUAAUUGGUUAGUGAAUCUCAUGAAGAAAUGUCCCAGGGAAAUAUCAAAAGAAAAAAAUAACAAAACGGUUUUUGCACUAAGAACAUUAAGCCUAUUUUAUGAAGAUUAUGAGUGCAAUGUUGCAUUAUUUUCAUCACAAAUAAGCAUAUUUAAAUCCCAAAUUCUCACUAUUGUAAUGCAGUGAUAUAUAUUUCCAAUACCUUACAUGUGUACUUUACAAUUUAAUUAUCAUAAUUUAUUAUUUUUUGUAUUACAGUAAUGAGAAUUGAUGGAGAAAUGGCCUUAAUUUUGCAAAAAUUGGUCAGUAUAUAUACAGUAAGUACAUUACAGUAUAUAUACAUAAGUACAGUAAUAAGAGGUGUCUCGUAUGCACAAAAGCACACUGGAUAUCCGAUACAGAACUAAAAGAAACCCCUGACUCUCUCAAAACAUGAGAUGUUUUACAACAACAGACAACUUUACAAGAUGUUUAACGAAAGCCUGCUGUUAUUUAUUUCAGUAUUAUAUGUUUUUAAAGGUUAGAAACGGCUAUUGUUUUUAUGGCAUGUGCUGUUGGAUGAGUUAAUAUAUAUGGACAAAUUUCUUUUUGUCACUUGUUUUGCUUUUUUUGUCUUUUGUGUUCACGUCUGGCCAGAUAUCAGUAUUAUCUUGAAUGUGUCAGUCAGCUUUUAUUGGAAAGCUGUUUGUUUUGAUUGAACUCCUGAAAGUAAAGCAGUCACCAUAGUGCAGCCAUUUUUUCCAUCACACACAUAGACAUUUGCACACCCUAUUAUUAUAUUAUAUUAUAUUAUAUUAUAUUAUAUUAUAUUAUAUUAUAUUAUAUUAUAUUAUAUUAUAUUAUAUUAUAUUAUAUUAUUAACGUUUAAGGGUCAAAUGAUGCAUGUUGAUACUUUGUUUCUACUGUCUACUGCAUGGGUUUUAGCUUUAAAAUCUUUCACAUUAGUUCAGUGUGUUAUUGGCCAUUAACACACAGCUUUGGAUCUAAUAUAUCACUAUAGUGUGCUGGGAUUUUAUCAUGCCUUACUAUAGUUACAGUCCUUCUUGUAUCACACAGUGCUUCUGUAUCAUUCUAUCAGUCUCGACUGCUUUCUGUAGGAGAUCAAUGUUUGUGAUGCAUUGUCAUUAGAAAAAAAAUUGUGUGUGUGUGUGUGCAUACAUGACAGUUCAAACUGGUUUUCUAAUCAAUUUUGUAUUGUUUUCCAGUGAGAUUUUAUUAUCAUUAUUAUUAUUUUGCAUAUUUUGAAUUACAUUCAUUUUUUCAUACCUCAUUGGCAAAUUGUUUCAAAUUUAAAGCAUUUGCAAAAAAAAUAAAAAUAAAUAAAAUGUCACAAAUACCUAAUGGGGUAAGGGAAAAAAGUUUAUUUAACAUAUUCUCUGAAAAUGUCUUAUUUUUCUUUUCAGUUAAAUUUAUUUUGUUUACAUCAUUUCAGAUUUUUUUGUCAUUUAAAUAUUUUUACUGGAAAACAAGACAAAAAUAGUGAUCAGUAUUAAUAUUAAGUUCAGAUGAGCACAGCUGAAAUCAAGUUCAGCAUUCAGCAUCUCAUUUGUCAUCAGUGUACAGAAUCAUUCAGGAGUUUAUGAUCAUGGGACCAUUGUGUGAAUGUGACCUUUGCUUUUGUUUUAUUGUGUUAUUAGUUCAGUUCUUAUGGAAUACAAAUAAAAUCGGUUGGAAGAUUUACAAAUGCAGUUUGAUAAAAAAAAAUGCAUAUCACUUCAAAUGGAAAAUAAUGAAGUUGUACUGGAACAAAAAAAAAAAAUCAUUGAAUGUUGACGUGUUUGUACAUGGUUUUAUUUACAUUGUAAUAUUUUAGAUAAAGCCUUACCUCUGAAUGGACGACAUGUCAAUGUAACACAUUUGUUUCUCUGUGGUGUUUCAUAUUCUAUUAGUUUGCUUUAUUUACAUUUGUGAAGCUUAACCUAUAACAUUCCUGUUAAAAUUGGUAUCAUUUUCCUCUUUAAAAAAAAUGAUUUGCACAUUUGUAAAAAAUCUCAGACUUGUCCCACCGAUCCAGCAGCCCUGUUUUAGACUUUCCUCAGCUCUAAGUUCUGAAGUGGUUUGUAAAAAAGGACAUCCAUAUUAAAUCAGAGUCUGACGCUCACUGUAUCAAGAUCAGCCUGCUCUCAUGCUUGUAUAAAGACAGCUUAUGCAGACAUUAAUAGAUGCUGUAGUAAUGCAGAUCAGUUGAACAUCUCAUAUGUUUGCUUCUCCUUCAACUUGUUCAGACUGGUUGUUCAGAGAGUUUGUAGUUCCUGUAGCUGUAAUUAUUUCAUGUGUUCAUCGGUGCAAUUUCAUGGAGUGAUACACUUAUGUCAAAAGCUGUUCAAGUCAAAUAAAUCAAUUCAGCACAAUGUGAAUGUUUUCUUUUUAAUUAUAUUACAAAAC
ensembl:lncRNA